GUGCACGCUGGCGGUAGGCCUCACCCGUGCCAGUCGAACGGCAGCACAGUAAGAGCUUGCUCUUACGGGUGGCGAGUGGCGGACGGGUGAGGAAUACAUCGGAAUCUACUUUUUCGUGGGGGAUAACGUAGGGAAACUUACGCUAAUACCGCAUACGACCUACGGGUGAAAGCAGGGGAUCUUCGGACCUUGCGCGAUUGAAUGAGCCGAUGUCGGAUUAGCUAGUUGGCGGGGUAAAGGCCCACCAAGGCGACGAUCCGUAGCUGGUCUGAGAGGAUGAUCAGCCACACUGGAACUGAGACACGGUCCAGACUCCUACGGGAGGCAGCAGUGGGGAAUAUUGGACAAUGGGCGCAAGCCUGAUCCAGCCAUACCGCGUGGGUGAAGAAGGCCUUCGGGUUGUAAAGCCCUUUUGUUGGGAAAGAAAAGCAGCAGGUUAAUACCCCGCUGUUCUGACGGUACCCAAAGAAUAAGCACCGGCUAACUUCGUG
rnacentral:rRNA from 1 species